rnacentral:miRNA from 1 species
GGUUAGGAUCAGUUUGGCAAAUA